rnacentral:rRNA from 1 species
GAUGAACGCUGGCGGCGUGCCUAAUACAUGCAAGUCGAGCGAACGGACGAGAAGCUUGCUGCUCUGAUGUUAGCGGCGGACGGGUGUGUAACACGUGUAUCACCCACCUAUAUGACUGGGAUAACUUCGGGAAACCGUAGCUUAUACCGGAUAAUCUUUUGAACCGCAUGGUUCAAAGGAGAAAGACGGUCUUGCUGUCACUUAUAGAUGGAUCCCGGCUGCAUUAGCUAGUUGGUAAGGUAACGGCCUACCAAGGCAACGAUGCAUAGCCGAACUGCGAGGGUGAUCGGCGACACGGGAACUGAGGCACGGUCCAGACUACUGCGGUAGGCAGCAGUAGGGAAUCUUCCGCAAUGGGCGAGAGCCUGGCGGAGUAACGCCGCGUGAGAGAUAGAGAUCUUCGGAUCGUAAAACUCUCUUACUAGGGAAGAACAUAUGUGGAAGUAGAUGUAGCCUGCGUGACGGUAACUAAUCAGAAAGCAACGGCUAACUACGUG